rnacentral:misc_RNA from 1 species
GCGAUUUUGUCUUUAAAGCCUCACAAAUUUCAUAUAUAUAUUUAUGUAUUCGGCCGGAUAAGUCUCUCAGAUUCAGACGCCGGUCAUCGGUAAGUUCUUCCCGGAGAAUUUCUGAUAUAUAGCCGCCGGUGCCGGUGAAUUUGAACAAAAAAUGGGGAUUGCAUGGGACGAUGUCGUUUUGAUUGAACACAGAGGGAAAACCGGUGAGCCGACUUCUAUCACCGUGAAUUGCCCUGAUAAAGCUGGGCUUGGAUGUGACCUUUGCCGGAUUGUUCUGGAAUUCGGACUCUAUGUUACUCGUGGAGAUUUUGCCACCGAUGGGAAAUGGUGUUACAUAGUACUGUGGGUUGUGCCACGUCCAAGCUCGCUAAAGGUGGAUUGGGGAAGCUUGAAAAAUAGGCUUAUGUCUACAUGUCCCUCAUGCAUGAUUUCAUUUUACCUAAACCAACAGUCCACUGCUUCUGCACCACCUCCAGUUUACCUAUUGAAGGUGUUUUGCCUAGACAGGAAAGGAUUGCUACAUGAUGUUACUAAGGUCCUUUGCGAGCUUGAGCUAACAAUUCAAAGAGUGAAAG